rnacentral:rRNA from 1 species
GAGUUUGAUCCUGGCUCAGGACGAACGCUGGCGGCGUGCUUAACACAUGCAAGUCGAGCGGAAAGGCCCUUCGGUCUACUCGAGCGGCUAACGGCGGACUAACACUUGAGUAACCUGCCCUCAACUUCGGGAUAAUCCUGAGAAACUGGAUCUAAUACCGGAUAUGACCUGGCGUGGCAUCCCGCUUGGUGGAAAGUUUUUUCAUCUGGGGAUGGGCUCGCGGCCUAUCAGCUUGUUGGUGGUGUAGUGGCCUACCAAGGCUACGGCCGGUAUUCGGCCUGACAGUCCGACCGGCCACACUGGAACUGACAGACGCGCCAAACUCCUACUGUAGGCAGCCCUGGAGAAUAUUGCGCAGUGGACGUAACCCUGACCCAACCUCCCCCCGAGUUGAAUGACGGCCUUCCCCUUGAAAACCUCUUUCCCCAAGGACCAAGUUGACGUGUAGCUGUAGAAGAAGCGCCCGCUAACUACGUGACACCAGCCUCGCUAAUACCUAGGUGACAAGCGUUGUGCGGAAUUAGUGGCCGUAUCGAGCUCAGAGGUGCCUUGCCGAGGCUGUCGUGAAAACGCAUGGCUUAGCUGUGGGUCUGCGCGGGAUACCGAAUGGCUAGAGGUAGGUAGCCGCUUGUGCGAAUUCCUGGUGUAUCCUUUGAGUGCUAGCAUAUGCAGGAGGACUCCGGUGCGGAACGCUUAUUGCUGGAGCUUACCUGACGCUGAGGAGCGAAAGCGUGGGGAGCGAACAGGAUUAGAUACCCUGGUAGUCCACGCUGUAAACGUUGGGCGCUAGGUGUGGGGUCCUUCCACGGAUUCCGUGCCGGAGCUAACGCAUUAAGCGCCCCGCCUGGGGAGUACGGCCGCAAGGCUAAAACUCAAAGGAAUUGACGGGGGCCCGCACAAGCGGCGGAGCAUGUUGCUUAAUUCGACGCAACGCGAAGAACCUUACCAAGGCUUGACAUCGCCCGGAAAGCCUCAGAGAUGGGGCCCUCCUUUGGACUGGGUGACAGGUGGUGCAUGGCUGUCGUCAGCUCGUGUCGUGAGAUGUUGGGUUAAGUCCCGCAACGAGCGCAACCCUUGUUCCAUGUUGCCAGCACGCUCUUCGGGGUGGUGGGGACUCAUGGGAGACUGCCGGGGUCAACUCGGAGGAAGGUGGGGAUGACGUCAAGUCAUCAUGCCCCUUAUGUCUUGGGCUGCAAACAUGCUACAAUGGCCGGUACAGAGGGUUGCGAUGCCGUGAGGUGGAGCGAAUCCCUAAAAGCCGGUCUCAGUUCGGAUUGGGGUCUGCAACUCGACCCCAUGAAGUCGGAGUCGCUAGUAAUCGCAGAUCAGCAACGCUGCGGUGAAUACGUUCCCGGGCCUUGUACACACCGCCCGUCACGUCACGAAAGUCGGCAACACCCGAAGCCCGUGGCCCAACCCGUAAGGGGGGGAGCGGUCGAAGGUGGGGCUGGAUCACCUCCUUUCU